AUAAUUACCUGGUAGAGGAGAUAAAAUGGCAAUGUAGGUGUUAGGUGUUUUUCCCAGAGUGAGGCUUAUCCUUUGUACUCCGUAUGUGCUGAUUCCUGCUAUUUCCCCAAGUGUGGAAAAAUUGGCCACAUUGUUUUUGGUAGGGGGGGGACUGUGUUCGUGGUCUCCCCUG